GGCGGACGGGUGAGUAAUGCUUGGGAAUCUUGCUUAUGGAGGGGGAUAACCAUUGGAAACGAUGGCUAAUACCGCGUAAUAUCGGGAGAUUAAAGACUGGGACUUUUGCCCGUUGCCAUAACAUGAGCCCAAGUGGGAUUAGGUAGUUGGGGGGGUAAAGGCCUACCAAGCCUUCCAUCUCUAGCUGGUCUGAAAAGAUGACCAGCCACACUGGAACUGAAACACGGUCCAAACUCCUACGGGAGGCAGCAGGGGGGAAUAUUGCGCAAUGGGGGCAACCCUGACGCAACCCUGCCGCGUGAAUGAAAAAGGCCUUCGGGUUGUAAAGUUCUUUCGGUGAUGAGGAAGGUUGUGAUGUUUAUAGCAUGACAAAUUGACGUUAGUCACAGAAAAAACACCGGCUAACUCCGUGCCAGCAGCCGCGGUAAUACGGAGGGUGCGAGCGUUUAUCGGAAUAACUGGGCGUAAAGGGCACGCAGGCGGUGACUUAAGUGAGGUGUGAAAUCCCCGGGCUUAACCUGGGAAUUGCAUUUCAGACUGUGGUCGCUAGAGUACUUUAGGGGAGGGGGAGAAUUCCACGUGUAGCGGUGAAAUGCGUAGAGAUGUGGAGGAAUACCCAAGGCGAAGGCAGCCCCUUGGGAAUGUACUGACGCUCAUGUGCGAAAGCGUGGGGAGCAAACAGGAUUAGAUACCCUGGUAGUCCACGCUGUAAACGCUGUCGAUUUGGGGAUUGGGCUUUGAGCUUGGUGCCCGUAGCUAACGUGAUAAAUCGACCGCCUGGGGAGUACGGCCGCAAGGUUAAAACUCAAAUGAAUUGACGGGGGCCCGCACAAGCGGUGGAGCAUGUGGUUUAAUUCGAUGCAACGCGAAGAACCUUACCUACUCUUGACAUCCUAAGAAGCUCGUAGAGAUAUGAGUGUGCCUUCGGGAACUUAGAGACAGGUGCUGCAUGGCUGUCGUCAGCUCGUGUUGUGAAAUGUUGGGUUAAGUCCCGCAACGAGCGCAACCCUUAUCCUUUGUUGCCAGCGGUUAGGCCGGGAACUCAAAGGAGACUGCCAGUGAUAAACUGGAGGAAGGUGGGGAGGACGUCAAGUCAUCAUGGCCCCUACGAGUAGGGCUACACACGUGCUACAAUGGUGCAUACAGAGGGGGACAAACCAGCGAUGGGGAGUGAAUCUCAGAAAGUGCAUCUAAGUCCGGAUUGGAGUCUGCAACUCGACUCCAUGAAGUCGGAAUCGCUAGUAAUCGCGAAUCAGAAUGUCGCGGUGAAUACGUUCCCGGGCCUUGUACACCCCGCCC
rnacentral:rRNA from 2 species